rnacentral:rRNA from 1 species
GACGAACGCUGGCGGCGUGCCUAAUACAUGCAAGUAGAACGCUGAAGGAGGAGCUUGCUUCUCCGGAUGAGUUGCGAACGGGUGAGUAACGCGUAGGUAACCUGCCUGGUAGCGGGGGAUAACUAUUGGAAACGAUAGCUAAUACCGCAUAACAGUAGAUGUUGCAUGACAUUUGCUUAAAAGGUGCAAUUGCAUCACUACCAGAUGGACCUGCGUUGUAUUAGCUAGUUGGUGAGGUAACGGCUCACCAAGGCGACGAUACAUAGCCGACCUGAGAGGGGGAUCGGCCACACUGGGACUGAGACACGGCCCAGACUCCUACGGGAGGCAGCAGUAGGGAAUCUUCGGCAAUGGACGGAAGUCUGACCGAGCAACGCCGCGUGAGUGAAGAAGGUUUUCGGAUCGUAAAGCUCUGUUGUAAGAGAAGAACGAGUGUGAGAGUGGAAAGUUCACACUGUGACGGUAUCUUACCAGAAAGAGACGGCUAACUACGUG